AGGUAAUAAAAAUAAUUUUGAGUCUCAAGCUUCUGGAAUUUUAUAGUAAUAAUAAUAAUUUUAGAAGGAUUUUUAAAAAUUUUUUUUUUUUUUGAGAGAGAAAGGUAGCACGCUAUCUGCUUCAUUCAUUUAGUCAAUAAAUUUGGCUACAUAGAGUGAGACAAUAAGAGGCUCUGACAAAAAAGUAAAUAAAUAAAUAAAUAAGUAAAUAAAAAUUAACUACAAACGUCAAAUCAAAUACUCAAAUAAAACGAAUAUCGCACCGCUCUACAAAACUCAGCCUACUCCUUUGUCAGUAUCCCUAUACGUUACCAUCCGCGUCUAGAGUUUUAAAAAUAAUAUUAUUUUUUUCGCGUCAAAUCGUCCAUCAUGU
rnacentral:lncRNA from 1 species